ACACUCCUGCGGGAGGCAGCAGUGGGGAAUUUUGGACAAUGGGCGAAAGCCUGAUCCAGCCAUGCCGCGUGAGUGAAGAAGGCCUUCGGGUUGUAAAGCUCUUUUGUCAGGGAAGAAACGGUGAAAGCUAAUAUCUUUUGCUAAUGACGGUACCUGAAGAAUAAGCACCGGCUAACUACGUGCCAGCAGCCGCGGUAAUACGUAGGGUGCAAGCGUUAAUCGGAAUUACUGGGCGUAAAGCGUGCGCAGGCGGUUUUGUAAGUCUGAUGUGAAAUCCCCGGGCUCAACCUGGGAAUUGCAUUGGAGACUGCAAGGCUAGAAUCUGGCAGAGGGGGGUAGAAUUCCACGUGUAGCAGUGAAAUGCGUAGAUAUGUGGAGGAACACCGAUGGCGAAGGCAGCCCCCUGGGUCAAGAUUGACGCUCAUGCACGAAAGCGUGGGGAGCAAACAGGAUUAGAAACCCCUGUAGUCCCAUG
rnacentral:rRNA from 1 species